rnacentral:rRNA from 2 species
AGGGUUUCGNUCGUAAAACUCUGUUGUUAANGAAGACNNAUCUGAGAGUAACUNUCAGGUAUUGACGGUAUUNACCAGAAAGCCACGGCUAACUACGUGCCAGCAGCCGCGGUAAUACGUAGGUGGCAAGCGUUGUCCGGAUUUAUUGGGCGUAAAGCGAGCGCAGGCGGUUUUUUAAGUCUGAUGUGAAAGCUUCGGCUCAACCGAAGAAGUGCAUCGGAAACUGGGAAACUUGAGUGCAGAAGAGGACAGUGGAACUCCAUGUGUAGCGGUGAAAUGCGUAGAUAUAUGGAAGAACACCAGUGGCGAAGGCGGCUGUCUGGUCUGUAACUGACGCUGAGGCUCGAAAGUAUGGGUAGCAAACAGGAUUAGAUACCCUGGUAGUCCAUACCGUAAACGAUGAAUGCUAAGUGUUGGAGGGUUUCCGCCCUUCAGUGCUGCAGCUAACGCAUUAAGCAUUCCGCCUGGGGAGUACGGCCGCAAGGCUGAAACUCAAAGGAAUUGACGGGGGCCCGCACAAGCGGUGGAGCAUGUGGUUUAAUUCGAAGCUACGCGAAGAACCUUACCAGGUCUUGACAUACUAUGCAAAUCUAAGAGAUUAGACGUUCCCUUCGGGGACAUGGAUACAGGUGGUGCAUGGUUGUCGUCAGCUCGUGUCGUGAGAUGUU